GCUGGGUGUGAUGGUACACAUCUGUAAUCCCAGCAUUUUGGGAGGCCGAGACGGGAGGAUUGCUUGAGCCCAGGAGUUUGAGAGCAGCCUGGGCAACAUAGUGAGACCCCGUCUCUU
rnacentral:SRP_RNA from 1 species